GCCAAGAAAACAAAGUUGUCGCAACCCCAUAAGCAGCAUUCCUCCUCCUCCAAACACAGCGAGUUGAGUUAAUGCCAAAGAGCUCAAUUUUGGUCUCAUCUGAUCACAACACUUUCACCCAGUUCUCCUCUGAAUCAUUCAGAUGUUGGCAAACAUUAGAAGGGCCUGUACAUAUGCGUUCUUGAGCAGGGGGACCUUCGGGCGCUGCAGGAUUUCAGUUCUUCACGGCGUAGUGUGUUACCAAUUGGUUUCUUGGUGACUAUAGUCCCAGCUGCCUUGAGAUUAUUAACAAGAUCCUCCCAUGUAGUUCUGGGCUGAUUCCUCAUUGUUCUCAUGAU